AUUGAACGCUGGCGGCAGGCCUAACACAUGCAAGUCGAACGAGUGGCGGACGGGUGAGUAAUGUCUGGGAAACUGCCUGAUGGAGGGGGAUAACUACUGGAAACGGGAGCUAAUACCGCAUACCAUCAGAUGUGCCCAGGUGGGAUUAGCUAGUAGGUGGGGUAAAGGCUCACCUAGGCGACGAUCCGUAGCUGGUCUGAGCGGAUGACCAGUCACACGGGAACUGAGACACGGUCCAGACUCCUACGGGAGGCAGCAGUGGGGAAUAUUGCACAAUGGGCGAAAGCCUGAUGCAGCCAUGCCGCGUGUGGGAAGAAGGCCUUCGGAUUGUAAAGCACUUUAAGUUGGGAGGCGUUACCAACAGAAUAAGCACCGGCUAACUUCGUGCCAGCAGCCGCGGUAAUUC
rnacentral:rRNA from 1 species